UACGGAGGGUGCAAGCGUUAUCCGGAUUCACUGGGUUUAAAGGGUGCGUAGGUGGGUCUGUAAGUCAGUGGUGAAAUCCCCGAGCUUAACUUGGGAACUGCCAUUGAUACUAUAGCUCUUGAAUACUGUGGAGGUCAGCGGAAUAUGUCAUGUAGCGGUGAAAUGCUUAGAUAUGACAUAGAACACCAAUUGCGAAGGCAGCUCACUACACGAAUAUUGACACUGAGGCACGAAAGCGUGGGGAUCAAACAGG
rnacentral:rRNA from 1 species